rnacentral:tRNA from 1 species
GGCACGGUACGCAAAUGGAAAAGCGGCGAAGCUCAAACCUUCGUGAUCGUCUGUGGGUUCGACUCCCACCCGUGCUAC